CCCUUAGAUGUCAUGGGCCGCACGCGCGCUACACUGACAUGUUCAACAAGCCUCCUAGUUCGACAGGAUUUGGGAAAUCUUUGAACGCAUGUCGUGAUAGGGAUAGAUCAUUGCAAUUAUUGAUCUUGAACGAGGAAUUCCUAGUAAACGCGAGUCAUCAGCUCGCAUUGAUUACGUCCCUGCCCUUUGUACACACCGCCCGUCGCACCUACCGAUUGAAUGUUUCGGUGAAGAUUCCGGAUAGGACUUUUUUGAUUUAUUUCAAUUUUGUCUUAAAAGCUAUCUAAACCUCAACAUUUAGAGGAAGGUGAAGUCGUAACA
rnacentral:rRNA from 1 species